UACGUAGGUGACAAGCGUUGUCCGGAUUUACUGGGCGUAAAGAGCGCGCAGGCGGUCGUUCAAGUCGAGUGUGAAAGCCCCCCGGCUCAACUGGGGAGGGUCACGCGAUACUGCUCGACUCGAAGGCAGGAGAGGGAAGUGGAAUUCCCGGUGUAGUGGUGAAAUGCGUAGAUAUCGGGAGGAACACCAGUGGCGAAGGCGACUUCCUGGCCUGUUCUUGACGCUGAGGCGCGAAAGCUAGGGGAGCAACGGGG
rnacentral:rRNA from 1 species